rnacentral:rRNA from 1 species
CCUACGGGAGGCUGCAGUGGGGGAUAUUGCUCAAUGGGGGAAACGCUGAUGCAGCGACGCCGCGUGAGUGAAGAAGUAUUUCGGGAUGUAAAGCUCUAUCAGCAGGGAAGAAAAAAGACGGUACCUGACUAAGAAGCGACGGCUAACUACGUGCCAGCAGCCGCGGUAAUACGUAGGGGGCAAGCGUUAUCCGGAUUUACUGGGUGUAAAGGGAGCGUAGACGGCAAUACAAGUCGGAAGUGAAAUACCCGGGCUCAACCUGGGAACUGCUUUGGAAACUGUAUGGCUUGAGUGCUGGAGAAGUACGCGGAAUUCCUGGUGUAGCGGUGAAAUGCGUAGAUAUGAGGAGGAACACCAGUGGCGAAGGCGGCAUACUGGACCGUAACUGACGUUGAUGCUCGAAAGCGUGGGGAGCGAACAGGAUUAGAUACCCCAGUAGUC